UAUGUUGAUGGAACUAUUGUUUCACCAUCUCGCUUUGAACCAGAAACCUCCUCAACACUCAACACCAAAUAUUUGAUGUGGAAAGCAGCUGAUCAACGACUUCUUUGUCUCCUGCUCUUCUCUCUCAUCGAGGAAGCCAUUGUUGUCGUCGUUGGUCUCUCUACUGCACGUGAUGUUUGGCUCACGUUGGAGACUACGUUCAGCCAUCAUUCGAAAGCUAGUGAAUUGAUAUUCAAGAAUGACUUGCAACUAAUGAAACGCGACACCAAACUUGCUGCGCUCCCUUAAGUCUUCUGACUCAACUCCUACGACAUUCACAACCACUAAUCGUGAUCGCACCCAUGGAAGUCACACUGCUUCCUUUAGCCACCAACGAGAUCGUUCUCAUUCACAUAACAACUCUUUCAAUCGAGGAUGAACCCACUCUGUCCAGGGUCGUCGACCACCUCGCUGCCAAAUAUGUCGCAUGGAGGGCCAUUAUGCUGACCGCUGCUGCAACCAACGAUACGUUCGGCCUGAUUUUUCUCAUGCUUACAUUGCAAUAGCCUUCAACACUUCCUGUUCUAUUGCUGGACCCGAGGCUGCUCAUUGGUUUUUGGACACUGAAGCUUCAGCCCAUAUGACUACCGAUCCAUCUAUUUUGGAUCAGUAAAAAAAUUACACAUGUAAGAACUCUGUGAUUGUAGGAAAUGAUGCAUCCCUACCCAUUACCCAUACUCGUACUCUUUCUCCUGUUCCAAAUAUUCACUUAUUAGAUGUCUCAGUUAUCCCUCAUCUCACUAAAAUUCUUCUUUCAAUUAGUAAAUUAACGUUUGAUUUUUCUCUCCGUUACCUUUACUAAUAAUUUUCUUACUAUCCAGAAUCGUCAAAUAGGAAGGGUGGUGGCAACCGCUAAAAAGGAUUGAGGGCUAUAUGUGUCGGAGCAUGUCAACUUUGCUUUCAUUUUUGUCUUUAGAAACAAAUCUUUUUGUGUUUCAUAUGAUUUAUGGCAUGCUAGUCUGGAUGAUGUGAAUCAUUCUGCUAUUUUUUUUUU